GCGUAAGGUCCCUCGGGCUGGCCCCAGCAGCGCCGAAUGCACUCGCGACAGAAGUUGUGGCCGCAGUCUGUCAUCACGGGGUCGGUGAAGUAGUCGAGGCAGAUAGCGCAGGUGGCUUCCUCCUGGAGGUUAAGUCAAGAAUCUUCUUUACUUGCCAUCCUCACAUGGUGACAAGGCCAAAGUGGAAAUAGCCUUGGUUAAAGGAAUCCUACAACAUUCUGAAGAUCCUCAGAGUUUGUGGCCAUGGGACAUGCUGCAUCUCUCUUAUCCCUGAAAGUAUGGGCCAUUAUCACGCUCUUAGAAUUCUAUUUUUCCAUAAAUUUUAAAUAAAUAAAUAAAUAAAUAAAUAACAGAAGCUUUUCAGUCCUCCUAGGAAUUCCUUAUCAGAGCUGGCUCAGAGUCAGCCUCCAACAUUAAUCAAAAUGACCACUGGAAUGUCCCUAGCUGCUGAAGGUUCCAGUGUAUACCGCAUUUUGGGUAUACACAAAUUAUCACUUGGAAAGUAAAGUUGCUCCCUUUAAACAUGUUGAGUCUUUGUUUCUGAUUGAAUGCUGCCGUACCAGGAUGAGAAUUGAACAACUGAUUAUGGUUUUAUUU